GGAGUUGGAGCCUUGUGUCGGGAGCCUAGUGUCUGGGAGUAUGGCAAACCAACCUUCUGACCGGUGCAGAUUAAUCUACUGAGUCUCUGCCUUAUGUUCUGCAGUCAAGUUUUGAGUCCAAGGACACUUCCAAAUUAACUUCCAGAGGCAACAGCUCACCUGGACUAAAACACUUGUACCUGGAGUGAUCUUAAGAAUUUAGACCUAACAUAGGAUUCAGAAACGGGUCAUCACAGCCACAGACUGACAAUGAGUUGGAAUGAAGACCCUAUUGCUGUGGUGGUGAAGUUGUCCUGACUGGAUCACAAGAGCAGGAGAAUUGUGUCUGCCCCUUCCUGAGGAGCACAAUCAAGAUGACUGUGGAUGAAGGGGUUUCAGUCAGCGUCAGCAUGGAGUCACCUUGGGCACAGAGUCAGUGGACAUGCCCACGGUCACUAGAGGACUCUCCACACGAUCUUAGGACCACUGGUUUGAAGCCAAGCUGGGAUUUUGAUCACUUCAACAUGCUGAUCAAAUGGUUUACUUUAACGAUGGAAAACAGACAGGUUAACAGUUUUGGUGAUCAGAAGACAACUAGUUCUGGACCAGAGCCUCACAUAAAUUUCAUAGCUUAGCUUAGAUCAGUUAUUUCUGUCAAGACUUGUAUUGUACAAAAGAGCAUGGGAAGCAAGUCACUGAUUGAAGAGACAGUCAACCGAAUGGGAGAGAAUCUUUGUUAACUACCCACUUGACAGUGACUUAGCAUCUACAGUACACAAAGAACUAAAAAAAUACUAAAAUAACUAGGAAUCAAUCUAAUCAUCAAAUGGAAUAAAGAGAUGAACAAACAUCUUUCAAAAGAUGAAGUGUAUAAUUCACCUAUGAGCAUCAAAAAACUUCAACCUCAUCAUCUAUCAGAAAAAUACAAAUAAAAACAGCUUUGAGAUUC
ensembl:lincRNA 1700001G01Rik RIKEN cDNA 1700001G01 gene